ACCUGAAACCUUGUGCCUACAAGCACAUAGAGCACAUCAACGUGUGAUAUGGUACCUUUUGUAGAAUGGUCCGGCGAGUGAAUGUCACUAGCGAGGUUAAGAACUUAAGGUUUGCAGCCGAAGCGAAAGCGAGUCUUAAUAGGGCGAGUUUAGUUAGUGGUAUUCGACCCGAAACCGAGUGACCUAGCCAUGAGCAGGCUGAAGUGGAGGUAAAACUCCAUGGAGGGCCGAACCCACUCCCGUUGAAAUGGUAGGGGAUGACUUGUGGCUAGCGGAGAAAUUCCAAUCGAACUCGGAGAUAGCUGGUUCUCUCCGAAAUAGCUUUAGGGCUAGCCUCAAUUAACAUUACCGCAGGUAAAGCACUGAAUGGGCUAGGGGGCGAAAGCUUACUGAACCCUAUCAAACUAAGAAUGGCGGAUAAUGAAUAAUUGGGAGUCACACUACGUGAGAUAAGUUUCGUGGUGGAAAGGGAAACAGCCCAGACCCACAGCUAAGGUCCCAAAGUACAGUUAAGUGGAAAAGGAUGUGAAGUUGCGCAGACAACCAGGAUGUUGGCUCAGAAGCAGCCACUCAUUCAAAGAGUGCGUAAUAGCUCACUGGUCGAGUGAUUUUGCGCCGAAAAUUUAACGGGGCUAAACUGUACACCGAAGCUUGGGAAUAUACCUUAUGGUAUGUUGGUAGGAGAGCGUCGUAUGCGGGGUGAAGUCGUAGCGAAAGCGGCGGUGGACUGCAUAGGAGUGAGAAUGCCGGAAUGAGUAGCGAGAAUUAUGUGAGAAUCAUAAUGGCCGAAAGACUAAGGUUUUAGAAGGAAGGUUCGUCCGCUUCUAGUUAGCCGGGAGCUAAGGCGAGGCCGAAAGGCGUAGUCGAUGCACAUACGGUUGAGAUUCCGUAGCCACCUUAAAUUUAAACUAAGGGACACAUUGAAAGGGAAUAACCCAGGCGUUGGUUGACCUGGGCGUAAGGGAACGAAAAUAAGUAGUGAAGUAUUCUUGGACAGUGGCGAGAAAAGCUUAGUGUAUAUUAUUAGGGUGCCCGUACUGCAAACCGACACAGGUAGUCAGGAAGAGAAUUCUAAGGCCAUCGGGAGAAGCGUUGUUAAGGAACUCGGCAAAUUGACCCCGUAACUUCGGAAUAAGGGGUGCUCACGAGAGUGAGCCGCAGUGAAUAGGUCCAGGCAACUGUUUAUCAAAAACACAGCUCUCUGCUAAAUCGUAAGAUGACGUAUAGGGGGUGACACCUGCCCGGUGCUGGAAGGUUAAGAGGAGGAGUGCAAGCCCCGAAUCGAAGCCCCAGUAAACGGCGGCCGUAACUAUAACGGUCCUAAGGUAGCGAAAUUCCUUGUCGGGUAAGUUCCGACCCGCACGAAUGGUGUAAUGAUCUGGACACUGUCUCAACAACGCACCCGGCGAAAUUGUAGUACCGGUGAAGAUGCCGGUUACCCGCGGCAAGACGGAAAGACCCCAUGGAGCUUUACUGUAACUUAAUAUUGGGUCUCGGUACUUUAUGUACAGGAUAGGCGGGAGACUUGGAAACUAGCACGCCAGUGUUAGCGGAGUCAUCCUUGGGAUACCGCUCUUAAGGUAUUGAGAUUCUAACCUGCAGCCUUGAAUCAGGUUGGGGGACAUUGUUAGGUGGGCAGUUUGACUGGGGCGGUCGCCUCCAAAAGAGUAACGGAGGCGUUCAAAGGUUGGCUCAGCAUGGACGGAAACCAUGCUUUAGAGUAUAAACGCAUAAGCCAGCCUAACUGCGAGACUGACGGGUCGAGCAGUAACGAAAGUUGGAGUUAGUGAUCCGGCGGUAUGUGAGUGGAAAUGCCGUCGCUCAACGGAUAAAAGCUACCCUGGGGAUAACAGGCUGAUCU
rnacentral:rRNA from 1 species